UUGAUGGCAAGCCGCGAAUGGCUCAUUACAACAGCCACAGUUUAUUGGGUCUCAUUUUACUUGGAUAACUGAGCUAAUUGUUGAGCUAAUACACGCACCAAAGCUUCGACCGCAAGGAAGGAGCGCAUUUAUUAGAACAAAACCAAUCGGACUUCGGUCCGUCUAUUGGUGAAUCUAAAUAACUCAGCCGAUCGCAUGGUCUCGAACCGGCGACAAACCUUUCAAAUGUCUGCCUUAUCACCUUUCGAUGGUAGUUUAUACGCCUACCAUGGGUUUUACGGGUAACGGAGAAUAAGGGUUCGACUCCGGAGAGGGAGCCUGAGAAACGGCUACCACAUCCAAGGAAGGCAGCAGGCACGCAAAUUACCCACUCCCGGCACGGGGAGGUAGUGACGAAAAAUAACGAGGUGGUUCUCUAUGAGGCCCACCAUCGGAAUGGGUACAAUCUAAAUCCUUUAACGAGGAACUAUUGGAGGGCAAGUCUGGUGCCAGCAGCCGCGGUAAUUCCAGCUCCAAUAGCGUAUAUUAAAGUUGUUGCGGUUAAAAAGCUCGUAGUUGGAUCUGCGGCCGAGGAGAGUGGUCACCCGUUGGGUUGCUACUGCUUUUCCUGGCCUAAUUCUUCGGUUUUCCCUUGAUGCUCUUCAUUGAGUGUCUUGGGUGGCCGGAACGUUUACUUUGAAAAAAUUAGAGUGCUCAAGGCAAGCUUAUAGCUUGAAUAGUGGUGCAUGGAAUAAUAAAAGAGGAUAUUGGUCCGUUUUGUUGGUAAUGGAGUGAUAUAAUGAUAGAGGGGGACAAUCGGGGGCAUUCGUAUUGCGACGUUAGAGGUGAAAUUCUUGGAUCGUCGCAAGACGGACUACUGCGAAAGCAUUUGCCAAGAGUGUUUUCGUCAAUCAAGAACGAAAGUUAGAGGUUCGAAGGCGAUCAGAUACCGCCCUAGUUCUAACCGUAAACGAUGCCAACCAGCAAUCCGCCAGUGUUAAAUGUAUGACUUGGCGGGAGGCUUCCGGUAAACCAAAGUUGGGUUCCGGGGGGAGUAUGGUUGCAAAGCUGAAACUUAAAGGAAUUGACGGAAGGGCACCACCAGGAGUGGAGCCUGCGGCUUAAUUUGACUCAACACGGGGAAACUCACCCGGCCCGAACACCGUAAGGAUUGACAGAUUGAGAGCUCUUUCUUGAUUCGGUGGAUGGUGGUGCAUGGCCGUUCUUAGUUGGUGGAGCGAUUUGUCUGGUUAAUUCCGAUAACGAACGAGACUCUAGCCUACUAAAUAGACAUUGGAUUCGGUUGUCCAGUGUACUUCUUAGAGGGACAAGCGGCGUCUAGCUGCACGAGAUUGAGCAAUAACAGGUCUGUGAUGCCCUUAGAUGUUCGGGGCCGCACGCGCGCUACACUGAAGGAAUCAACAUGCAUAUCAACCUUGUCCGGAAGGACUUGGUAACCCGUUGAAACUCCUUCGUGAUUGGGAUAGGGAAUUGCAAUUAUUUCCCUUGAACGAGGAAUUCCCAGUAAGUGCGGGUCAUCAGCUCGCGUUGAUUACGUCCCUGCCCUUUGUACACACCGCCCGUCGCUAUUACCGAUUGGAUGGUUCAGUGAGAGAUGCGGACUUGCGUUGAGGCGGCUUCACGGCUGCCUCUUCUGCGGGAAAGCAUUCUAGCUGACCAUCUAGAGAAAUAAA
rnacentral:rRNA from 1 species